GACGAACGCUGGCGGCGUGCCUAAUACAUGCAAGUAGAACGCUGAAGGAGGAGCUUGCUUCUCUGGUUGAGUUGCGAACGGGUGAGUAACGCGUAGGUAACCUGCCUGGUAGCGGGGGAUAACUAUUGGAAACGAUAGCUAAUACCGCAUAAUAGUAGAUGUCGCAUGACAUUUGCUUAAAAGGUGCAAUUGCAUCACUACCAGAUGGACCUGCGUUGUAUUAGCUAGUUGGUGAGGUAACGGCUCACCAAGGCAACGAUACAUAGCCGACCUGAGAGGGUGAUCGGCCACACUGGGACUGAGACACGGCCCAGACUCCUACGGGAGGCAGCAGUAGGGAAUCUUCGGCAAUGGACGGAAGUCUGACCGAGCAACGCCGCGUGAGUGAAGAAGGUUUUCGGAUCGUAAAGCUCUGUUGUAAGAGAAGAACGAGUGUGAGAGUGGAAAGUUCACACUGUGACGGUAUCUGACCAGAAAGGGACGGCUAACUACGUG
rnacentral:rRNA from 1 species